ACGGGUGAGUAACACGUGGGAACGUACCUUUUGGUUCGGAACAACUGAGGGAAACUUCAGCUAAUACCGAAUAAGCCCUUACGGGGAAAGAUUUAUUGCCGAAAGAUCGGCCCGCGUCUGAUUAGCUAGUUGGUAGGGUAAUGGCCUACCAAGGCGACGAUCAGUAGCUGGUCUGAGAGGAUGAUCAGCCACACUGGGACUGAGACACGGCCCAGACUCCUACGGGAGGCAGCAGUGGGGAAUAUUGGACAAUGGGCGCAAGCCUGAUCCAGCCAUGCCGCGUGAGUGAUGAAGGCCCUAGGGUUGUAAAGCUCUUUUAACGGGGAAGAUAAUGACGGUACCCGUAGAAUAAGCCCCGGCUAACUUCGUGCCAGCAGCCGCGGUAAUACGAAGGGGGCUAGCGUUGCUCGGAAUCACUGGGCGUAAAGCGCACGUAGGCGGACUCUUAAGUCGGUGGUGAAAUCCUGGAGCUCAACUCCAGAACUGCCUUCGAUACUGGGAGUCUCGAGUUCGGAAGAGGUGAGUGGAACUGCGAGU
rnacentral:rRNA from 1 species